rnacentral:rRNA from 1 species
AGAGUUUGAUCCUGGCUCAGGAUCAACGCUGGCGGCGUGCCUAAUGCAUGCAAGUCGAACGCUCGGGCCUUCGGGUUCGGGAGUGGCGAACGGCUGAGGAACACGUGCGUACCUACCUCCUUGCGGGGAAUACCGGCUGGAAACAGCCGACAAUACCGCAUACGCUUGGCGUCAAGCCAAGGAAACCUUCGGGGCGGGGAGCGGGGCGCGCGGCCCAUCAGGUUGAUGGCGGGGUAACGGCCCACCAUGCCGAUGACGGGUCGCUGGUCUGUGAGGACGGCCAGCCAGACUGGGACUGCGACACGGCCCAGACACCUACGGGUGGCAGCAGCAAGGAAUCUUCGGCAAUGGGCGCAAGCCUGACCGAGCAACGCCGCGUGGAGGAUGACGGCUUUCGUGUAAACUCCUUUUGCUAGGGACGAAACGACGGUACCUGGCGAAUCAGCCCCGGCUAACUCUGUGCCAGCAGCCGCGGUAAGACAGAGGGGGCAAGCGUUGUCCGGACUUACUGGGCGUACAGCGCGCGCAGGCGGUCGGCAAGGUAUUUGGUGACAGGCUCCCGCUCAACGGGAGACGUGCUGAAUAAACCGGCGGACUGGAGGCCAAGAGAGGGAAGUGGAAUGCCCGGUGGAGCGGUGAAAUGCGUAGAGAUCGGGCGGAACACCGCGGCGAAGGCGGCUUCCUGGCUUGGACCUNNNGCUGAGGCGCGAGAGCGUGGGAGCAAACGGGAUUAGAUACCCUAGUAGUCC